rnacentral:lncRNA from 1 species
UUCCAAAACCACCACAAAAUAUAUUAUUAACUUUUCAACUCAAAACUCAAAAAGCUACAAACUUUAUACAGAUUACAGAAAAUCUUGAUCAAUUCAUUAAUCAUAUAAUACAUUUUGAUCCGAUGCUUGAAAUAGAUACACGAGAUUGAUCAAGAACACAUAAACAUAUAUAACAACCAGCAGAAUGGCAAUAAAAUUAAAUUAUGGAAAUGAAAAUGAAAAUGCGUACCGGACUUGGGUCGGUGGGUGAUUAAACAACAAGAUUCACGGCGCCGGGUAAUCGGAACUCGCCGGAGGGUGGUCGGAAGGUGAGUACGCUUUAUAAUUUUGUGUAUGUGCAUAUAUAAUAGAAGCAGAUUAACGUAAGUAAUAAUGACAACUAGUAUGUUUGCCCGCUCCGCAUGGGCGUUGAAAAAUAAUGUUUUUGAAAAACAUAUGCUUGAUUAAAUUUGUAUUUGAUUAUAGUUGAGGUUUUUUGAUUUUCGAUAUAAAUUAUUUUAAUUUUUUUCCUAUUUCUUGUUCUCAUCUAAAAUAAAUUCUAAAAUGAAAAAUAUCUGAUAAUAGAGCUAAUCUCAUUAGUCCAAUAUUUGGUACGAUUAGAGGUGGCAAUCAUUUCAUUUCGUAUAUUUUUGUAUUUUGUGUACUCGAAGGUGAAACCCGUAUCCGCACCCAUUAUUGGUUUUGUGUACCUAAUUUGAAACCUGUAUACGAUCCGAAACGUUUUUGUAUUUUUUUGUGUAGAUUAUAUAUAAAUAUAUUAAUAUAAUUUUAAUCAAAAAUAGUUUUAAUAUAAAAUUUCCCUGUAUAAUUUUACACAAUUAUAUAUAUAAUAUAUUAUAACAUAUAUAUAAUAAAAAUUAUGUAGAAAUAUUUCGUUUACUUUCGUGUAUUUCGUGUACCCGAAAUGAAAACCCAUAUCCGACACGAAAUCUAUCGUGUACUUUCGUGCAUCAAAAAUGAGAACCUAUAUCCAUUUUUUUUCGUGUCGUUUCGUGUUAGCAUGUUACGUAUCCCAAAUAUAUAUAAUUAUAAAUAUAAUUUACAGAAAUUAAAUUAUACAAAUAUAGUAUAGAAAUUUAAAUUGUCUUUUAAAAAUAGGAAGGCAAGACCCAUAUAUUAGUUGUUUUUUAUAAUAAAUAAAAAAUAAAAAAUAUCAGUUGUUUUCAAAAUUUGAAAGUAGCCAUCAAUAUCUGUUGCUUUUUAAUGUUAAUUGACUUCAACUUCUACCUAAACAAAAUUUAAUUGACAUUGAAUUACUACUCUCCCACUGUGAAUUUAUGAUAAAAAUAAAUGCCCAGGAUAAAAAAAUCUAUACGAUAUCUUACAUCACAAUUUGUAGCACAUAUGAAAGAGUAUUAGAAAAAUGCAUUAUUUGUAGCACAUAUGAAAGAAAGAGUAUUAGAAAAAUGCAACUCCAAUCACAUAAUUGUAUUAAAACAAAGCAAAAUCUAUAAAAACAAAGUCUAUGAUUUAGAUACCUUUUUGCAUCAUAAUGAAAUCUUAAAUCCAAAUUAUCAUACUUGAUGUCACAAACAAUAAAUCUCAAACAACCUGCAAAAUAAAUCAAAUAGUAAUUAUACAUCGACAAUUGAAAUAAAUAUUGUCAAAUGAUGAAAAUAUAUGAAUAAUAGUUAUAGCAUAUGAUUUACAUACACCAAAAAUAAAAAUUUACAUUAAAACAUAUCCUUUUCUAGCCUCUUGCACACAUAUAAUGUAAACAGUCAAAUUACAAUGCACCACUCCAAAAAGUAUUACCCACAAUAAAAAGUUAUCAUUUUAUACUUUUAUCUCUCAAAUUUUUCGUAAUUAUCUAACACCUCAAAUAGAUUUUUAUAAAAAUCCUAAAUAAUGCAAGUCAAACCAAUAAGCAGACAUGUUAAAAAAAACAAAUGAAAAAUCAUAUAUAAUACAUAAACAUCGUGUAUUAAACUCAUGAAGAGUGGAAUGAAUUAAAUCAAUAUAGAACCAAAAAUUUGAGUGCAAAAAUUCCCUUUUCAAGCCUCUUGCAUAUAUAUGAUGUAAUUGUGAACUCGCAAAACAGCAAAACUGUAAAAAAACAAAAAAAUUAAGUUAGGACUUCUAUCAAACAGUUGCAAAGCAAACCAAUAAAACAUGAUUAUACAAAGUAAUCAUGUCUAUAAAAUCACAAAAAAAAUCAUAUCCACAACAAAGUCUGAUCAAAGAUAUGACCGGAUUAAAUAAAAGACAAUCAAAGAGAAACUAUCUUACAUCUUACAAUUUCAAAGAAAGCAUACGGAGGAAGAAGCUGUAAUGAGAUGUGAAAUCAAAUGUGGUAGGUGAUAGAAGAUACCUCUUCCAUUAGAAACCAAGACUCGGAGAAGAAGAUGAAGAACAGCUGUGAAGAAUCGUGAAAAGGGCGAGAUGGCGGAAGGAAUCGAAGCUCACGCGGGAGAGCAUAAUCUUUUGAAAUUUGAAAACCUAAUUGUACUGCGAUGUACUGCUGAGCCGAGAAGAGGUGGAUAAUGGAGAUAAUGUGUGGCUGAGCAGUAAGACACGUGUGUAUACCGUAUAUUCAAGCCGUAUAGAGUGGCAAUAUACUGAAGAUACACAAAAAACAGAGGGACAAAGUAGACAAUUUGUACCCAAAUAUGUAGUAGGAUUUAUAAUUUAAAUAGAUAACGAACUCAAUGUUACAAAGCAAUACGAAAAGUAUCAGCGGGGAACCGUUGUGCGUAUUUACGGUUUUGCCAUUAUAAAUUUGUUCCCGCAUACGGUUAAAUGGGGUGGGAAAAACAGAGAACCCGCCCCAACCGUCCCGAAUGGGGCAGAUUCGCUCCGG